rnacentral:lncRNA from 10 species
GGCCAUAAAUAUAACAAUCUAGUUUCCUUAUUUGGUGCUUUUUAAACUGUCAUACCCGUGCCCUGAUUAUGCAAAGAGGUACCGGGGACAAGAAACUAUAAGAUAAGAUCCCCCAGAGUGACACUGGUACAGAACCUAACACAAGCUAAGAAGGACUAGAAGAAACAAUUAUCACACAUACCUAGCAAGUGGAUAUUGGUUUCUAAUGCCAUUCACCAGUAAAAAAACACACAGGACUACUUGGAGAAAUUGACUGAUUCUAGGACUGAGGCUAGAAAUACUCAAGAUCAGCCUGGAGUUUCUUAUAGUGCCAGAAAGUAAGAAAGUGCUUGAAAAAAAAGAACCACAGAGUCCCACAAUAAUAGGAGUAUGUCAAAGACAUGAAGGAGCCAACUGAAGGAGCUCUUAAUGGCCAAAACUCGAAAAAUUGGAGCAAUGAAAUAAAGUAAAGCAGAAUUGGAUUAUAACCUAAAGUAUAAAAUAAGUAUUCAUAAGUCUAUGCCAAUAGAAAUGAUUGAAUAAAUAAAUGAGGAAAAGGGGCAAAUUUCCUGUGCAGAGAAAUUCCAGCUGAUUUAUGUACUCCUCUCUCAAGUUGGAGUAUAACACCUAACUUCUUAAGUGUCGGUUGGACUUAGUGACUUCCUUCAAAACUAUACAGUAUGAAAGGGGAAGGAAAAGGUAACUUUACCUGGAAAAAGCUGACACAUGCUACCUCAGCCAGGAGAUCAAGUUCAACAUCAACAGUGAUAAGUCAUAUUGAUGGGAACAAGGCUCUUUUGUCUUUGAUUUUCCAAUCAAACCAGAACAAUUUGCAUUCUGGUUUGCCUCUUCUCCAAAGAAUCACAACUCCUCGCCAGCAAGGGAGAAAAACUGGGCAGAGAAUGAAUUUAAUGAGUUGACAGAAGUAGGCUUCAGAAAGUGGGUAAUAACAAACUACUUCGAGCUAAAGGAGCAUGUUCUAACCCAAUGCAAGGAAGCUAAGAACCUUGACAAAAGGUUAGAGAAAUUGCUAACUAGAAUAACCAGUUUAGAGAAGAACAUAAAUGACCUGAUGGAGCUGAAAAACACAGCACGAGAGAGAGCUGGUGAGGCAUACCCAUGUAUCAAUAGCCAAAUCGAUCAAGCAGAAGAAAGGAUAUCAAAGAUUGAAGAUCAACGUAAUGGAAUAAAGCAU